CACCAGAGGAAAACCUUUGGGAAGUCAAACCAGAUGGUUUUGUUUCCUUCCGGCCCUAAAACUGUGACUUUCUGACUUCUUCGUUGCAUAUUUAUGGCACAGAAACAUCAAAAGGCCACGGCUGGGUCAGCGGGAAUGGCGUGGAUGUGAAUUGUAGAUUCCAUAAUCACAUUUUCAACUGGAAUUGAUCCUUAGACCGUGAAGAAAUUUGUAAAUAUUUUCAAACAAGGAACAUGGCGGGGACUUUUUCAAUCUGUUUGCAGGCAAUUUGCAAACAGAAAGCCUUGGCAACAUUGGCCGAAUACGUAAUUAACGCCGUGAUUUAUGGGCCCAGCUGUAAUUUCUCCCAACCUCCCUACUCUACGCCAAACGAUGUGGGAGAGGAACGGCUCGUUUGCAACAUGCUUCAUUUUGCUGCUCCAUCUAAUCCUGCGGACCGAGAUGCCCAUGUGUCAGAAGGACAUCUCCUUUAUCCAGGGGAAAUAAAGAGGGUGGAUUGCCUGCUUGCUUGAUGGACAUGGGCAGAGGGGAUGACUUGUUCUCCUGGUGGGACAUGCAGGGGAUAAACUUGCUCAUUGCCUUUGAGUUGCGGAUUUCAAAUUGAUCUAUACACGAUGUGGAUGUAACAGGUAUUUCCAGAAGUGAGUGAACAUGGGGGGUGCAGCCCCACGUCUACAGUUCUGCCCCACCCCUCCUGCCCUGGUAAUGUCCCUGAGAAAUCUGCCACCAACCCCUGCUGCCCUGAGGCUGCCUUCUGCCUGCUCUUUGCUGCUCUCUCCCAUAUCAUCACGUAGUGGAAAUGCUAAGUCACAGCCUGAAGCAGUGAUGGAGCACCUGGUGGGAAGGCAGGGCCAGCCCAGGGGAGCUCAGGUGUGUGCAAUGUACUUGAGUGAUUGGAAGGGGUAGAGCCAGGAUCCACCCCUGCCCGGCCCUCAUUUAAGGGUUGGCAGUGGAGGUGAGGGGGAUCUUGCUGGAGAUCCCUGUGUAUCUGAGGCCUUCCAUAGGGGAAAAAACACAUUUUUGAAGAAAGGGAAGGAGGGGCAAAGGAAAUGAGACUUUAUUUUCCUGAGCCACUUCUUCCUUCCUGAAGGAGCUGGUGUAUGAUUGAUAGAAAGAAAUCUGGUCUUGCUGUUGAAACAUCAGGCCACUCUUUUUUGCUCUUAUUUUGGGGAUCAAGAGAACCAGGAGUGGUGACGAGUGAUCUGGAGCCAUUUGGAUGCUCUCUGCUGACCCUUCCCUCCAUCCAUGCCCUGGGGAUGCUCGUCUGGUGCCUUCUCCUUGCAAUUCUUAUCACUCCUUCUCCUUAAAAAGAAGGGGAGAUUUGAGGCUCCCUCUCACUAAAUUCAUAACUACUUGCCUGCAAUUUCCCCCAAGGGAAAGUUAUUAGCAGCAACUUAGUGUCUGAUGGAUGGCUGUGUUGCCGAGGCUCUGUUUUGCAUCAAGGCUUCUAAAGAUACAUCAUUUAAAUUCACGUGGGCAGGCAUGUAUUAAGUAAAUGCCAAGAAAAAUAUUUAUUACAGUAGGGAAAUUGCACUGCAGCUUUGUCCGUCUGCGUAUUCCUAGUGAUUUAAUAAUCAAUUAUUGCAUCGGCAGUCAAUACUCGCCUUAUUAAAUCUUUGCAGGAAGUCGUCUCGAGAACUUUGGCUUAAAAAGGUGAUUUUAAUUUUCUUCUGUAAUUGUUCUUUUGUUUCGCUGUUGGCCACCCAUGAGCCUCAUAGCCCUGUUCAGCGUCCCCAAGACAGACUGUGGUGAGCAGGCUCCUGGCUGUGUGUUAAUGGAGCCGCCAAUUGAUUUUUAUUUCUGGUUGUAUUCUUACUUCCAA